GUAGGGCGCGAGCGUUAUCCGGAAUUAUUGGGCGUAAAGAGCUCGUAGGCGGUUUGUCACGUCUGCUGUGAAAACUGGAGGCUCAACCUCCAGCCUGCAGUGGGUACGGGCAGACUAGAGUGCGGUAGGGGAGAUUGGAAUUCCUGGUGUAGCGGUGGAAUGCGCAGAUAUCAGGAGGAACACCGAUGGCGAAGGCAGAUCUCUGGGCCGUAACUGACGCUGAGGAGCGAAAGCAUGGGGAGCGAACAGGAUUAGAUACCCUGGUAGUCCAUGCCGUAAACGUUGGGAACUAGAUGUAGGGACCAUUCCACGGUUUCUGUGUCGCAGCUAACGCAUUAAGUUCCCCGCCUGGGGAGUACGGCCGCAAGGCUA
rnacentral:rRNA from 1 species